rnacentral:misc_RNA from 1 species
AAGGAGCAUCUAGGCCGCCAAGCUUGCUUGGUGGUCCAGGGCCAUUACGUCGGCAUACGUUCGACGGUGGUUGCUCAUGGGUGGAACGUUGAUUAUUCGGCACUCUUGACUGUCUUCUCUU